GGAUGUGGGGCGACCUGGCUGUGACACCCAUCGCCCCGGCAGUGGCCAGGGGGGACUGGCUGGCCUGGCUGGCCGAGCAGGUGGCCCCUCCUCCCUCACCGCUCCACACACGUCCCUCCCGAAGCAGGAGGAGGACGGCCUCUCCCGAGUGGAGAACUCCCUACAAGCUCUCCAGGGGAAAGGCUACAGUU
rnacentral:snRNA from 1 species